UGCAUAUCAAUAAGCGGAGGAAAAGAAACCAACAGGGAUUGCCCCAGUAGCGGCGAGUGAAGCGGCAAGAGCUCAGAUUUGAAAUCGUGUUUCGGCACGAGUUGUAGAGUGUAGGCGGGAGUCUCUGUGGAGCGCGGUGUCCAAGUCCCUUGGAACAGGGUGCCUGAGAGGGUGAGAGCCCCGUAGGGUGCUGCGCGAAGCUUUUGAGGCCCUGCUGACGAGUCGAGUUGUUUGGGAAUGCAGCUCCAAGCGGGUGGUAAAUUCCAUCUAAGGCUAAAUAUUGGCGAGAGACCGAUAGCGAACAAGUACUGUGAAGGAAAGAUGAAAAGCACUUUGAAAAGAGAGUGAAACAGCACGUGAAAUUGUUGAAAGGGAAGGGUAUUGGGCUCGACAUGGGGGGUGCGCACCGCUGUCUCUUGUAGGCGGCGCUCUGGGCGCCCUCUGGGCCAGCAUCGGUUCCUGCUGCGGGAGAAGGGGCUCCGGAAAGUGGCUCUUCGGAGUGUUAUAGCCGGGGCCAGAUGCCGCGUGUGGGGACCGAGGACUGCGGCUUCUGUCUCGGAUGCUGGCAUAACGGCGCAAUACCGCCCGUCUUGAAACCACGG
rnacentral:rRNA from 1 species